AUUGAACGCUGGCGGCAGGCCUAACACAUGCAAGUCGAACGAGUGGCGGACGGGUGAGUAAUGUCUGGGAAACUGCCCGAUGGAGGGGGAUAACUACUGGAAACGGUAGCUAAUACCGCAUACCAUCGGAUGUGCCCAGAUGGGAUUAGCUAGUAGGUGGGGUAACGGCUCACCUAGGCGACGAUCCCUAGCUGGGCUGAGAGGAUGACCAGCCACACUGGAACUGAGACACGGUCCAGACUCCUACGGGAGGCAGCAGGGGGGAAUAUUUGACAAUGGGCGAAAUCCUGAUCCAGCCAUGCCGCGUGUCUGAACAAGGUCUUCGGAUUGUAAAGCACUUUAAGUUGGGAGGCGUUACCAACAGAAUAAGCACCGGCUAACUACGUGCCAGCAGCCGCGGUAAUUC
rnacentral:rRNA from 1 species